CAGCAGCCGCGGGAAAACGUAAGUGGCAAGCGUUGUCCGGAAUUAUUGGGCGUAAAGGGCUCGCAGGCGGUUUCUUAAGUCUGAUGUGAAAGCCCCCGGCUCAACCGGGGAGGGUCAUUGGAAACUGGGAAACUUGAGUGCAGAAGAGGAGAGUGGAAUUCCACGUGUAGCGGUGAAAUGCGUAGAGAUGUGGAGGAACACCAGUGGCGAAGGCGACUCUCUGGUCUGUAACUGACGCUGAGGAGCGAAAGCGUGGGGAGCGAACAGGAUUAGAUACCCCAGUAGUCCCUGUCUCUUAUAA
rnacentral:rRNA from 1 species